rnacentral:lncRNA from 1 species
GGCCCAUAGGAUCGAUUAUAUUUUUAACAUAGUGUGCUUUUCCCAUCUCUAUAGAAAAAGGCUUAAAAACAUGAUACAUGAAUGGUCUUACAACUCACUGUUGACCCUGCUCCAUGCUGCAGUGGGAAUUAACUACAUUUGCAAAGUGCUUUGCAGUCAUUUUUAUUAUGGUGUUAUUUGAAUGUUAAUAAUAAUUUUGUGGUAACAGCGACAUGCUAAAUGGCUGCAGUGUGGGUAUGGUGUUGCAGGACCUGAAAAUAAAAUAGUUUUUUAAGGUGGUGCAGAAUGUCCUUUUUGGGCCUGGCUAUUGAGGAUAAUAAGCACAUAACUGGUAAAGUUAUUGAAAUAUAAAUUCAGGUUGCUCACUGCAACAGUAUAUUAUUGUUAUGCUUAUAGCAGAU